GCGCCUUCCGCGCGCUCCUGAUCAGUGGGUCCUCCUUUUGUAUCUGCUCUUUUACAACAGCUAUGUCCGAGACUGCACCGGCCGCACAGCCGGCCUCGACAGCUCCCGAGAAGCCGGUGGCUGCUAAGAAAGCGAAGAAACCUUCUAAAGCUUUGGCAGCCACUAAGAAAAAACCCGCGGGCCCUUCUGUGUCCGAGCUUAUCGUGCAGGCCGUGUCCUCUUCCAAAGAGCGCAGUGGGGUGUCGCUAGCAUCCCUCAAGAAGGCGCUGGCGGCCGCCGGCUACGACGUGGAGAAAAACAACAGUCGUAUCAAGCUGGGUCUAAAGAGCCUGGUGAGCAAGGGCACUUUAGUGCAGACCAAGGGCACCGGUGCCUCUGGCUCCUUCAAGCUCAACAAGAAGGCCUCCGUGGAGGCCAAGCCCAGCACCGCGAAAGUCGCGGCUAAGGCCAAGGCAGCGAGCGCUCCCAAGAAGCCAAAGAAGGCUCCGGCGGCUGCUGCAAAGAGAGCAGUGAAGACUCCCAAAAAGGCUAAGAAGCCUGCGCUGGCAAAGAAGUCUUCCAAGAGCCCUAAAAAGCCUAAAGUCGUGAAGCCCAAGAAGGUAGCUAAAAGCCCCGCGAAGGCCAAGGCUGUGAAGCCCAAAGCACCUAAGACCAAGGUGACUAAGCCUAAGUCUGCAAAGCCCAAGAAGGCAGCACCAAAGAAGAAGUGAGCAGUCCAGUUGGAAGAUCCUUCCGCACCAUCGUCCUCCAGGGCCACCUCCUGAGGGAAAGUUGGUAUCAAACUCCCAUUGUAGAGGACAGAAGAAACUAAACCUUCAUGAGGCCAGCUCAUGGCGAGACAAGACCCCCCAAAACUGUGCCUUUGUACAUGCAGGUUAAAUUUAUGCAUCUCGACCAGGAUGUAUUGCUCACCUCUGGCUCACUUCACCACCUAAACCAGCUGCUGCUGAAAUUUAGAAUCUCACUAAAGAAGACUGGAAGGACUUCUAAGGACUUACAAGACUGUAUGUGGGUUUUCCUUCCAUAGUUUUGAAACUAAGAGUUAUAUUUGUUCUCCAUUGUGAACAUAUAUUACUUUUGGAAAGACACAGCAAAAUGUUUGCAUCAGAACUAGAAUUUUUGAAAAGUUAAAUUUACAGAGUGUGGGAUUGCAAUGGAGAAACAAAACUGACCCUUGUCUUUUCAAAGUAAAUUUUACUGAGAGCACUCA